GUAAAAUAACAAUAGCGAGGCUAUAUACAGGGGGUACCAGUACAGAGUCAAUGUGGAGGCUAUAUACAGGGGGUACCAGUACAGAGUCAAUGUGGAGGCUAUAUACAGGGGGUACCAGUACAGAGUCAAUGUGGAGGCUAUAUACAGGGGGUACCGUACAGAGUCAAUGUGGGGGCUAUAUACAGGGGGUACCAGUACAGAGUCAAUGUGGAGGUUAUAUACAGGGGGUACUAGUACAGAGUCAAUGUGGAGGCUAUAUACAGGGGGUACCAGUACAGAGUCAAUGUGGAGGCUAUAUACAGGGGGUACCGGUACAGAGUCAAUGUGGAGGCUAUAUACAGGGGGUACCAGUACAGAGUCAAUGUGGAGGCUAUAUACAGGGGGUACCAGUACAGAGUCAAUGUGGAGGCUAUAUACAGGGG
ensembl:lncRNA